GAUGAACGCUGGCGGCGUGCCUAAUACAUGCAAGUCGAGCGAACAGACGAGGAGCUUGCUCCUUUGACGUUAGCGGCGGACGGGUGAGUAACACGUAGGUAACCUACCUAUAAGACUGGGAUAACUUCGGGAAACCGGAGCUAAUACCGGAUAAUAUUUCGAACCGCAUGGUUCGAUAGUGAAAGAUGGCUUUGCUAUCACUUAUAGAUGGACCUGCGCCGUAUUAGCUAGUUGGUAAGGUAACGGCUUACCAAGGCAACGAUACGUAGCCGACCUGAGAGGGUGAUCGGCCACACUGGAACUGAGACACGGUCCAGACUCCUACGGGAGGCAGCAGUAGGGAAUCUUCCGCAAUGGGCGAAAGCCUGACGGAGCAACGCCGCGUGAGUGAUGAAGGUCUUCGGAUCGUAAAACUCUAUUAUUAGGGAAGAACAAACGUGUAAGUAACUGUGCACGUCGUGACGGUACCUAAUCAGAAAGCCACGGCUAACUACGUG
rnacentral:rRNA from 1 species